rnacentral:rRNA from 1 species
AGAACGAACGCUGGCGGCAUGCCUAACACAUGCAAGUCGAACGUGAUCCAUGACUUCGGUUGUGGUGAAAGUGGCAAACGGGUGAGUAACGCGUGGGAAUCUGCCCAGAGGUAGGGAAUAACCGCGGGAAACUGCGGCUAAUACCCUAUGUGCCCUACGGGGCAAAGAUUUAUCGCCUUUGGAGGAGCCCGCGUCGGAUUAGGUAGUUGGUAGGGCAACGGCCUACCAAGCCUACGAUCCGUAGCUGGUCUGAGAGGAUGAUCAGCCACACUGGGACUGAGAUACGGCCCAGACUCCUACGGGAGGCAGCAGUGGGGAAUAUUGGACAAUGGGGGCAACCCUGAUCCAGCAAUGCCGCGUGAGUGAUGAAGGCCUUCGGGUUGUAAAGCUCUUUCGGCGGGAAGAUGAUGACGGUACCCGCAGAAGAAGCCCCGGCUAACUUCGUGCCAGCAGCCGC